rnacentral:rRNA from 1 species
UACAGAGGGGGCGAGCGUUGUUCGGAGUUACUGGGCGUAAAGGGCGUGUAGGCGGUUGUUUAAGUUUGGUGUGAAAUCUCCCGGCUCAACUGGGAGGGUGCGCCGAAUACUGAAUGACUUGGAGUGCGGGAGAGGUGAGUGGAAUUCCUGGUGUAGCGGUGAAAUGCGUAGAUAUCAGGAGGAACACCGGUGGUGUAGACGGCUCACUGGACCGUAACUGACGCUGAGACACGAAAGCGUGGGUAGCAAACAGG